CACACACACACACACACACACACACACACACACACACACACACACACACACACACACACACACACACACACACACACACACACACACACACACACACACACACACACACACACACACACACACACACACACACACACACACACACACACACACGCACGCACGCACGCACCACGAUUUCAACGUUUUAGUCUGUCCGGUAUUCCGCUAUACGCAAAGCAUUUCGUGCGUAUAGCGCAAUUACACUUGUGAACUGCGCAUGCGCGCGCCUUACCGGAAACGCCCGCGAUACGCCCGAAAAACAUGGCCGCACGGCGGCAAGCGGUUGGCAUCCACAUCGAACCUAUCAAGUGGCCGUCGUGAGCUCUAUAGCUCGUUAACUCCGAACUCAUGCUUCUAUUUGCUUUAGAUUAUUGUGCUGAAGGUUCGACAGCGAAGUAUCCGUGCCGAUUCGGCACCUUUUCUGAGAGCCAUACUCAAAUAAUCAAUGCUGUAGGCGAAUCGACGCUUCCGGAAUUUCGGAGGACAUAGAUAACGCAUCUGCUAGAUUUUUUAAAAAUCCUCCAUAACCACUUGAGGUCGGUGGUUUUUAUAUCGCUUAGUUCAAAAGCUAACGCAAGGCGGCGAAUACAGCAAGCAAAAAAGUUAAGUUAGCCAAACAAACAUGCCUUCGCAUUAUCUGAAAUGUUCCAGUCUGAGGCAGUGAUGGCGAGCUCAUUAUUUUCUACGUCGUGCAUACGCAGAUGCGGGAACUAAUAGUUACGUGGGCAUUGUUGGCGUAUUUUGGGCGUACGAUACGCUAAAGCUCGUUUGCGGGCGUUAUUACGCUAUCCGGCACACACUAUACCCACAUCCGGUAUUCCGCUAUGCCUUUUAUAGCGGAAUAUACCGUACAGACGAAAACGUUCUGUUAUAGCUUGCGUGGGACUAGUUGGAAUAACAUGAUAGAAACAGCAAUGUCAUGCAGCGCAAGGCUGAGACCGACAGAACAUGAAACAAACUCAAGACGAUGAGACAUACAGUCCAAAGGGAAACCUUCUAUUGACAAGGGGCCUGGGGUAACCACCCGUCCCGCGACUCGCGGGAAUGUACUGCAUUCAGGCCUGUAUUGUCCCGAAUUCCGCAAGACACACGAAAAUCUUCAAAAAAGUCCCGCAUUUCCCACUUCAUCAUUAUUGUUAUUAUUAGUUCAGCUGCGUACGGUCGCCCUGUUUGAGGACGCGUUAACUGCGAGCACUUUUAAGCUUCAGCGGCGACUAAUGCUUCUGUUAAAGGCAAUCUGUGAGCAAACCCACCCCGAUUUCUACCAGAUCGAGCGAUCAGACCAAGCCGUUGUAGAGGCUAUUCGAUCUGACGAGAAAUACCAAUUCGAGAAAGAAAAAACAAGCGACAUCGACUACUUCGCAGCCUCCUAUCAGCAACGUACAGCUGUUUUUUUAGUAACUAUUUUGCUGUAACUCUUUUAGUAACUAUUUUAGUUUAUAUUAAAAACCUUAAUACUCUUGUUUACGUCUCGUUUGUUCAGAUACGUAUUUGAACUUCAACUUGUACCGGUUACUCUAUUUCCCUUUCUCAAAGAUGACACAAUAUCUGGAGCGAAAAUGUCUCGUCAUUCCUCAUCAUUCUAUGCCGAUGUCAAUCUCGCCUCUCCACGCCGCCGGUCGCUGCCUCCCGGCAGCACACAUUGGGCACACGAUGGGCACGUGUCACUGGUGUAGGUCCGUACUGCGGCCAUCUCCAUCCAGAAGCCAGCAAUCCCCAUCGACAAGAAAUACAGAAAACUCUGCAUCGAUAGCAAGCGGAGGGAUUCGCCGAUGGGGGCGCGUCCCCGCUCCGCCAUGACGGCGAGGUACAGCGGAAUCGCCACGGCGAACAUCGUGAGAAGCAUGUACGCCCGCACCAGAAUCCAGUGCACGUGCACGUGAAACGUAGCACACGUACAACAGCAUCCGUUCUCGCGCGCACUGCCAUCAACGCCAUCCUCGAGCUCGCGGAGCUUCCGCCGAUGGCCGCGCACUCGACGAGGCGCUGGCGAUGACAUUUGCCGUGGACUCUUGUUUGCUUUGCGGUUGUGGACGACCACGGGUGACGGAACCAAACCAAUCGCACCACCCUGCAUUGUGUUUGAGAGGUAAAGGGAUGAACCUGAGGUAGUCAGUCUGUAUACACACAGUCGUCGAGAUGACACGGCUUCCGCACGCGAAAAUCCCCCAAAACAA